rnacentral:rRNA from 1 species
GACGAACGCUGGCGGCGUGCCUAACACAUGCAAGUCGAGCGAAGCCUUCGGGCUUAGCGACGGACGGGUGAGUGACGCGUGGGGACGUGCCCUUUGGUCCGGAAUAGCCGCGGGAAACUGGGAGUAAUACCGUAUGUGGUCGAGAGACGAAAGACUUAUCGCCAAAGGGUCGGCCCGCGUUGGGGUAGGUAGUUGGUGGGGUAAUGGCCUACCAAGCCGACGAUCCAUAGCUGGUUUGAGAGGACGAUCAGGCACACUGGGCCAGAGACACGGGCCAGAUACCUACAGGAGGCAGCAGUGCGGAAUUUGAGACACUGGGGGAAACCCUGAUCUACUCAUGCCGCGUGAUCGAUGAAGGCCUUAGGGUUGUAAAGAUCUUUCAGUGGGGAAGAUAAUGACGGUACCCACAGAAGAAGCCCCGGCUAACUCCGUGCCAGCAGCCGCCGUAA